rnacentral:rRNA from 1 species
AUUCCAGUUGAUCCUGCUGGCGGCUGCGGCUCUCUGAUUUGCGCUUAGACAUGCAAGUUUUUUUGGCUUUGCAAAAAGUUGAAAAGCAAACUGCUCAGUAACACGUAGCUAACCUACCCUCAGGUUAAGGAUACCCUCGGGAAACUGAGGUUAAUACUUAAUAAGAGAUAUACCCUGGAAAGAUUUAUCUCUGAACUAAGGAUGGGGCUGCGGCGGAUUAGGUUGUUGGCGGGGUAAUAGCCC